UCAGGACGAACGCUGGCGGCGUGCCUAACACAUGCAAGUCGAGCGAGGAGAUCCUUCGGGAUGAUCCUAGCGGCGGACGGGUGAGUAACACGUGGGCAACCUGCCUCAUAGAGAGGAAUAGCCUUCCGAAAGGGAGAUUAAUACCUCAUAACAUUGCAGUUUCGCAUGGAACAGCAAUUAAAGGAGCAAUCCGCUAUGAGAUGGGCCCGCGGCGCAUUAGCUAGUUGGUGAGGUAACGGCUCACCAAGGCGACGAUGCGUAGCCGACCUGAGAGGGUGAUCGGCCACAUUGGGACUGAGACACGGCCCAGACUCCUACGGGAGGCAGCAGUGGGGAAUAUUGCACAAUGGGGGAAACCCUGAUGCAAGCAACGCCGCGUGAGUGAUGACGGCCUUCGGGUUGUAAAGCUCUGUCUUCAGGGACGAUAAUGACGGUACCUGAGGAGGAAGCCACGGCUAACUACGUGCCAGCCGCUGC
rnacentral:rRNA from 1 species